GACGAACACUGGCGGCGCGCCUAACACAUGCAAGUCGAACGAGAGAUGAGGAGCUUGCUCUUCAGAUCGAGUGGCGAACGGGUGAGUAACGCGUGAGGAACCUGCCUCAAAGAGGGGGACAACAGUUGGAAACGACUGCUAAUACCGCAUAAGCCCACGGCUCGGCAUCGAGCAGGGGGAAAAGGAGCAAUCCGCUUUGAGAUGGCCUCGCGUCCGAUUAGCUAGUUGGUGAGGUAACGGCCCACCAAGGCGACGAUCGGUAGCCGGACUGAGAGGUUGAACGGCCACAUUGGGACUGAGACACGGCCCAGACUCCUACGGGAGGCAGCAGUGGGGAAUAUUGCACAAUGGGGGAAACCCUGAUGCAGCGACGCCGCGUGAGUGAUGAAGUAUUUCGGUAUGUAAAAACUCUAUCAGCAGGGAAGAUAAUGACGGUACCUGACUAAGAAGCACCGGCUAAAAUACGUG
rnacentral:rRNA from 1 species